AACGCACCUUGCGCUCCUUGGUAUUCCGAGGAGCAUGCCUGUUUGAGUGUCAUUAAUAUAUCAACUCCUUCAGCUUUUGUGGUUGUUGAGUGUUGGAUUGUGGGGGUUUUGCUGGCCUUUCAGAAGGCGCAGCUCUCCUGAAAUGUAUUAGCAGAACAAUUUGUUGAAUCGUUCAUUGGUGUGAUAAACUAUCUACGCUAUUGACCGUGAAGCAAGUUCAGCUUCUAACAGUCCAUUGAUUUGGACAAAUUUUAUUUAUUUAAUGUGACCUCAAAUCAGGUAGGACUACCCGCUGAACUUAA
rnacentral:rRNA from 1 species